UACGGAGGGUGCUAGCGUUGUUCGGAAUUACUGGGCGUAAAGGGCGCGUAGGCGGCCGUUUGCGUCGGAUGUGAAAGCCCGGGGCUCAACCUCGGAACGGCAUUGAUACGGGACGGCUGGAGACCGGGAGAGGAGAGUGGAAUAGCCAGUGUAGAGGUGAAAUUCGUAGAUAUUGGCUGGAACACCGGUGGCGAAAGCGGCUCUCUGGCCCGGUUCUGACGCUGAGGCGCGAAAGCGUGGGGAGCAAACAGG
rnacentral:rRNA from 1 species